rnacentral:rRNA from 1 species
UACGAAGGGUGCAAGCGUUAGUCGGAAUUACUGGGCGUAAAGCGUGCGUAGGCGGUUUCUUAAGUCCGUUGUGAAAGCCCCGGGCUCAACCUGGGAAUGGCAGUGGAUACUGAGAGGCUAGAGUGUGUCAGAGGAUGGUGGAAUUCCCGGUGUAGCGGUGAAAUGCGCAGAUAUCAGGAGGAACACCGGUGGCGAAGGCGGAUCUCUGGGCCUUACCUGACGCUCAGGCGCGAAAGCUAGGGGAGCGAACAGG